GACGAACGCUGGCGGCGUGCUUAACACAUGCAAGUCGAACGGAAAGGCCCUGCUUUUGUGGGGUGCUCGAGUGGCGAACGGGUGAGUAACACGUGAGUAACCUGCCCUUGACUUUGGGAUAACUUCAGGAAACUGAGGCUAAUAACGGAUAGGAGCUCCUGCUGCAUGGUGGGGGUUGGAAAGUUUCGGCGGUUGGGGAUGGACUCGCGGCUUAUCAGCUUGUUGGUGGGGUAGUGGCUUACCAAGGCUUUGACGGGUAGCCGGCCUGAGAGGGUGACCGGCCACAUUGGGACUGAGAUACGGCCCAGACUCCUACGGGAGGCAGCAGUGGGGAAUAUUGCACAAUGGGCGGAAGCCUGAUGCAGCAACGCCGCGUGCGGGAUGACGGCCUUCGGGUUGUAAACCGCUUUCGCCUGUGACGAAGCGUGAGUGACGGUAAUGGGUAAAGAAGCACCGGCUAACUACGUG
rnacentral:rRNA from 1 species